AUUGAACGCUGGCGGCAGGCCUAACACAUGCAAGUCGAACGAGUGGCGGACGGGUGAGUAAUGUCUGGGAAACUGCCCGAUGGAGGGGGAUAACUACUGGAAACGGUAGCUAAUACCGCAUACCAUCGGAUGUGCACAGAUGGGAGUAGCUUGUAGGUGAGGUAACGGCUCACCUAGGCGACGAUCCCUAGCUGUGCUGAGAGGAGGACCAGCGACACGGGAACUGAGACCGGGUCCAGACUCCUACGUGAGGCAUCAGUGGUGAAUAUUGCACAAUGGGCGCAAGCCUGAUGCAGCCAUGCCGCGUGUAUGGAGAAGGCCUUCGGGUUGUAAAGUACUUUAAGCGGAGAGGCGUUACCCGCAGAAGAAGCACCGUCUAACUCCGUGCGAUCAGCCGCGGUAAUCC
rnacentral:rRNA from 1 species